rnacentral:rRNA from 1 species
UACGUAGGGGGCAAGCGUUGUCCGGAUUUAUUGGGCGUAAAGAGCGUGUAGGCGGCUAGAUAGGUCCGUUGUGAAAACUCGAGGCUCAACCUCGAGACGUCGAUGGAAACCAUCUGGCUAGAGUCCGGAAGAGGAGAGUGGAAUUCCUGGUGUAGCGGUGAAAUGCGCAGAUAUCAGGAAGAACACCCGUGGCGAAGGCGGCUCUCUGGUACGUGACUGACGCUGAGACGCGAAGCCGUGGGGAGCAAAGCAGG